AUUACCUUAUUAACUCAGGAAUGAUGAAUCUUGUUGGGUAUGGUUGGGCAUUAAUCUUUGCAUUAUGCUCCUUGCGUGUGACUACUUGUGGAUUUUUCUGCUCAAAGUGGUCCAGGAGGAUCUCUCAACUGGCAACCAAAAUUAAUAGUUUAAUAGUUUGAGGCUGAAAUGAUUGUAUAUGACAUCUACAUACAAAGUCAGUUACAUGUCGGGGGUAUCAGCUUCAAACAAUUAAUAUUUAUAAAAUGAGAAGCCAUUUUAGCAGAAAACUCCUGGAAGUUAAAUUUAGCAGAAAAAAAGAAUAGUUUUUUUAUCUGAGUAAGAAAUAAUGUGUGGAUUGAUGAUUGUGUUGGUGACGUGUGUUAAUUAAUUAAACUUAGGCUUCAUGUCAUUCACAUAUUCAUUGAUUUAGAUGUGUACUGUUAUGUAUCUACAUCAUCUUUAUUCGUAGUAAUUACCAGAAUUCAGCAUCCGUAUCAGAGAGGCUUCUACUUUAUUUAAUUCACGCAACUAACUUCAAAUGCUUUUUGGAGUUCACUCUCGUGAAAUGGAAGUUCAUCGUUCUCUUACAUCUCUUCCUUCUUCUUCCUUUUUCUUUUUUCGUGUAGAUAACUUUACCCCAAAAGAAGAAAGCCGAAGCAGCUAUAUACAUAUAUAUGGUUUCACUAUGCUAACAUGUGAAUCUCUACAACUUGUUGCUGCUAGCUUGCUAUUGGACCAC
rnacentral:lncRNA from 1 species